rnacentral:tRNA from 1 species
GCAGUGGUGGUUCAGUGGUAGAAUUCUUGCCUUCCAUGCAGGAGACCUGGGUUCGAUUCCAGGCCAAUGUA